rnacentral:rRNA from 2 species
AAAACUUUCAACAACGGAUCUCUUGGCUCUGGCAUCGAUGAAGAACGCAGCGAAAUGCGAUAAGUAAUGUGAAUUGCAGAAUUCAGUGAAUCAUCGAAUCUUUGAACGCACAUU